rnacentral:rRNA from 1 species
UGAAUUGACGGGGCCCGCACAAGCGGUUGAGCAUGUUGGUUUAAUUCGAAGCAACGCGAAGAACCUUACCAGGUCUUGACAUCCCCUGACAACCCGAGAGAUUCGGGCGUUCCCCCUUCGGGGGACAGGGUGACAGGUGGUGCAUGGUUGUCGUCAGCUCGUGUCGUGAGAUGUUGGGUUAAAGUCCCGCAACCGAGCGCAACCCUCGACCUUAGUUGCCAGCAUUCAGUUGGGCACUCUAAGGUGACUGCCGGCUAAAAGUCGGAGGAAGGUGGGGAUGACGUCAAAUCAUCAUGCCCCUUAUGACCUGGGCUACACACGUGCUACAAUGGGCGGUACGAAGGGUCGCGAACCCGCGAGGGGGAGCCAAUCCCAAAAAGCCGCUCUCAGUUCGGAUAGUAGUCUGCAACUCGACUACUUGAAGUCGGAAUCGCUAGUAAUGGCGGAUCAGCAUGCCGCCGUGAAUACGUUCCCGGGUCUU